GGAGGCAAGUGGGAGGGAGAGGGUGAGAUUCACUGAGGCUGGGAAGAGGAGGAGGCUGGUGUCCCCAAGGGCCUGAGGUCCAAGCACAGCUCCAAGGCACAGCCCGGGAGGGUGGAGCACACCCGGCGGCCCACAUCAUGCCCCGAGGCGCUCAUGCCUGGCCAGGAUCCCCAGGCACCAGGCAGGGCUCAGGAACAGCCGCCAGCUUAGGGCAGCAGGACGUGCAGGCAUGGAGUGGCCGCCCAGGAGGCGGUGGUGACAGCUCCCAGCCCUGCAGCUCUUCUGGGCACCAUGGAAGCUUCUGGAUCCUGGAGCAACUCUAGGAGGGAAGAGAGUUGCAUUUUCUGCCAGCCCCACAGGGUGGGGCUCCCAGUUGGGUUUAAGCUGAUUUAAGUAAACAAAGAAAUGAAACUUCCGGAUUUCUGGACAGCACGGCCCUCCAAGUUCAUGGUCUGAGGCCUCUUCUUUGCUCCGAAUAUUCAUUAGAUAAAACAUUUCAACAAAACAAGCCAAGCAUCGCAGACACCAAAAACAGACAGAACAAAACCCGUGGGUGGGGUCUGAGAUGGAGCUUCCGGUCUCGGAACCAAGGUGGGGGAAGUGCUGGCACAGCUCCCGGGGUGGGGAGCAGAGGCCGCUGACUGCACAGAGAGACCCCCACCCCAGAGAGGGAACAGAAGAAAAUUCCGGCUGAGUGCUUCCCGGACUUCAGCUUCCAGAUUCGAGAACCAGGAUGUGGGAGGAAGCAGCCUCCUGUCCAGGACCCAGGAACUGGUGUCCAGAACAAGCUCGUGCUGAGCUGUGUGUGAAGGUGGGCCGAGGUGGAGGCCAGGCAGCCAGGAGCCCACAGGCUUGGCUUGUCCGACGGCACGGCCAAGCCCACGCUCAGCCUGCCCAAGAUGGUGAAGGGGACACAGUCCCAGGCGAGCAAGCUGGAUCGAAGCCAGUGACAGCUCUCCCAGAGGGUGAAGAAGGGAAUUUAAGAACACUUCACCCAUCUGGAACUAGGAAAUGCCGUGGGAGCAGACAUAGCCAAGCAUCUGUGAGAGGGGGCCAGUUGCAGCUGCGGAUUCCACACUCUUCCUGCCAUUACGGUUUUGGGCAUUAGUGCCAGUUUUCUGGGUUAUCUCUGACAAGCCUAAGCUCUCUGGAUGAUAACUUAAGCUUUUUAACCAAUCGUCAAUCAGAAAAUCUUUGAAUCCGCUUAUGAUCUGUAAGCCACCGCUUCACUCCACGUGGUU
rnacentral:lncRNA from 13 species